rnacentral:tRNA from 2 species
GCAGUCGUGGCCGAGUGGUUAAGGCGGUGGACUAGAAAUCCAUUGCGGUCUCCUUGCACAGGUUUGAAUCCUGUCGACUGCG